rnacentral:lncRNA from 1 species
CACAAACAUACCCAAAAAGGCAUUUAUUAAAUAACGCAUGGGGAACUCUGUCGCUUGGAAUCCAGUGCACGUUACAGUUUCAUUUUCUUCUGUUACCUGCGUUUCCUCUAUGUCUGCGAGCUGUUAAUGUUGUGAGCUGACCUAUGGAGAGGCCCACAUGGCAAGGAACUGAGGCCCUCAGUCCAACAGCUUGUAAGGAAGUGAAUUCUGCCAACAACCAUGUGAGCUUGGACGUACAUCUUUUCCUGGUGGAACCUUGAGAUGAGACUGCAGCAUGGACCAACACCUUGUCUGCAGCCUUGUGAGAGACCCUGAAGCAGAGGACCCAGCUAAACCAUGUGCAAACUCCCAACCGACACAAGCUGGAAUGUAGACAGUUGUAGGCCAGCUUCAAUCAUGUGAAUUAACGUUUCACCCUAUUUACCAGAGGGUCUAGAAAAAGCUAGAAGGAACCUGGGUCCCUGAAUGAUCUCAUGGAGCUGAGCUGCCCAUUUGCCUGUUACCAGCUGCCUCCAUCUAGUCAUUAUGUGAGAGAGAAAUAAACUUUAAUCUCUUUUGAGUUACUAUAUUUGGGGAUCUCUGUUAUAGUAGCUUAGCCUGUGCGCUACAUUACAGGGGACCUCUCAGAAGAAGUGACAUUUAAGCUAAGACCUAAGUGACAAGGAUGAACAAGGCAUACAAAGAGGAGGAGAAAGAGCACUUCAGACAAGUGAAAAGGACCUAAAAGGAGAAAGGUCAAUACAGCUGGGGCACAGGGUGUGAAUGGUGGAGAUGAGCUGGAGGAGAAUUAGUCUUGGACCAGAUCAUGGAGGGGUUUGAAACCUAAGGUAACGAAUUUUGAUUUUAAGUGUCAUGGGAAACCACUGGAGAAUUUUAAAAUAUUAAAAUAAGAGAAGUGUCAUAAUUGGAUUUAUGUUUAAAAAAAUCACCCUGGCUGCUCUGUAGUAAGUUAUCUAAGAGGGACAAAGUAUAGGCAGAAAGACUGGCUAGAAAGCUACUGCAGGAGUCCAAGGAGAACCAAUUUGAGCGCUCUGAAUUAGGGUCGUGGGAGCAGUGAAGACAGAAGAUAACACAUUCUUGAAAUGUUCUAGAAGUAUCAUCAACAAGGCAAAUGAUAGACUGGACUGGUAGGGGGAGCGCAGGAAAGAGUAGAAUCAAGAAUGACUGGGGGCUUGAGUAAGUGCUAUUUAAUGAGAUGGUUGCUGGAGUGGAUGGGCUGAAGGGUAGGCCAUAGGGAAGCAAGAACAGAGGCAGAGAGGUCAGCCAGGGAAUUGAGUUGGGG